GAAGCAGGCCAGGCAGCCGCCGCCUCUCACGAGGGGGAGGAAAGUCCGGGCUCCAGAGGGCAUGGUGCUGGAUAACGUCCAGCGGGGGCGACCCCAGGGAUAGUGCCACAGAGAGAAGUCCGCCCGCCGGUGCUUCGGCAACUACGGGUAAGGGUGAAAGGGUGAGGUAAGAGCUCACCGGGUCCGACGGUGACGCCGGAUGCCAGGUAAACCCCACCAGGAGCAAGGCCAAAUAGGGGAGCGCAAAGGACGGCCCGUCCGUGCUUCCGGGUUGGCUGCUCGAGACCGUCGGCAACGGCGGUCCUAGAUGAAUGGCUGCCGCCCGCUUUCCGGGUAACCGGUUGCGGGAACAGAACCCGGCUUACGGCCUGCUUCAGCC
rnacentral:RNase_P_RNA from 1 species